rnacentral:rRNA from 1 species
GGACCUGACUGCUAUCGGAUUGCUACUAAGCCAUGCGAGUCAUUGUAGCAAUACAAGGCAUACGGCUCAGUAACGCGUAGUCAACCUAACCUAUGGACGGGAAUAACCUCGGGAAACUGAGAAUAAUGCCCGAUAGAACAUUAUACCUGGAAUGGUUUAUGUUCCAAAUGAUUUAUCGCCGUAGGAUGGGACUGCGGCCUAUCAGUUUGUUGGUGAGGUAAUGGCCCACCAAGACUAUUACAGGUACGGGCUCUGAGAGGAGUAGCCCGGAGAUGGGUACUGAGACACGGACCCAGGCCCUAUGGGGCGCAGCAGGCGAGAAAACUUUGCAAUGUGCGAAAGCACGACAAGGUUAAUCCGAGUGAUUUCUGCUAAAGAAAUCUUUUGUUAGUCCUAGAAACACUAACGAAUAAGGGGUGGGCAAGUUCUGGUGUCAGCC